UCUGAGUCACGCUGUCACACAUUAUAAUGCUAAUGUCUAAAAAAAAUCUCAAAAAAUUGUAAGUAUUUACAAACAAAAUCUUCCAGUAAAGAUAGCUAUAGAGUUGCAAUUGUCAUCUUGUUUGAAAUGCAUCAAGCCAAGAAGCUUAUGUGAGCCUGUCAGUUCUGACAGCUUCCUGGAGAGACUUGUAACACACCCUGUUUCUUGGCUAUGUACAGAUGCAGGAGGUUAAAGUAACAACUCUAUGUCAGAACCCCAAAGACUCUGAAAAAUCACUGUUUCUAAACCACUUACAGUAGAUUUCAUGAGGAACAGAAAUCAGGAAACUUUUGGGAUAGACAAUUCCCUCUUUUGACUAUCACUUCAUCUCCUUUUAGCCCUCACAGCUGGUUGUAUGCAACACAACAUCCAAAAAAGGUGACCGGCCUAUACUCUUCCCAGUCAUGUAUAUUUACUGUGAGAAGCUGAGAUCACUGGUUGUAGCCCUGUGUGCCCUCAGAGGUUUUCAAGAUUUUGUCUUGACAGAGACAUAGCUGAUGUCCAGAUCUAAAGUUUGCAGCAGUCCUUCUUCAACCCAGAGGCUGAACUAAAUGAGCUGUGCAAGUCCCUCCAAAUCAAUAAUUCUACUAUGCAUCUGCCUUACAUUGCACUGAAGCAGAUUAAGAGCAUUUGCACAAGCAGAAAGACACUGCUUGUUCUUGGAUGGAGAGAAAGUUCUUUCUUCCCCUUGCAUAAUUUCCUAGUUGUGUGACUCAGUGGAACACUUCCACCUCCCUACUGUUUUUCAAAGUACUUCUCAUAACUUUCAGAACAAAACCCAACAACCCAGGAGAUUGAUGUUAUCAGCAUGUGAAAUAUUUAUCUUCUAUGCUGGAAUUUUCUGUUUGAUCUGCAUUGAAGUGAUUUUUAAGCUUUAAGCAAAAUCCCUUUGGCCAUCUGAAUCUUGAAAGACAGUUGGGAGUGAGGGUGGCAGAGUAAGAUAAUUUGGUGCAAAACUUCUAUAUUUUUCUGUAAAUCUUAUUAAAAAAAACUUUUCUCUGUCUAUACAUGUAUACACAUGCACACACACAAACACAUGCACUAAAGAAAGCAAAGUUUUUAAAUGGUAAUUGUGUCUCUCAUGACAUUGAUAGAGCUCAAUACAAAAAAGAUUCUGAGGCCUCAGAUGAAAAUUUUCAAGAAUAACUUAGGUGUGGAAGAAUCUGUGAAUAAGGUGCUUUUGAAACACUUACCUUUUGCCCUUUUGUGAUAUCAAAUGCAUUUUGUGCUUUUUCUGAAAUAAAAGGAAGGCUGCUGCCAGCACAAUUUAUACAGAACUGAAAGUCUCUGUGGCACACUUACAGUAAAAGCUUUCCAGAACUGUUAAGGAGGAAAAAAAAAGUCUAAAGCUCUACAGCAUUUGCUGCAUUCUGAAUUUACUUUCUUUAGUUUUCCUCAGUAUCGCUCUACAUCCAGAACAAAACUAUGUAGAUGCUUAGAUAUUCCUGAGGGCUUUCCUAUAAGGGAGAGAGAGAGACAGAUUCCUACCUUUCUCAUGCCAUUCAACUCACUCACGUGUAAGCAUCUAAGCCUAUUAUGUUUCUAACUGACAAGAGAGAAUAAUUUUUCUAAAAGCAGUGAAUAAUUCUGGAGUACUUUCUGCUGUUUUUAUGAUUUCCACAUUUGAUUAGCUAGUUUAUAACAGAAGGGAUCUUUAGAAUAAGUACUCUAAUCAAAGCUUUUAACCAUCUUAAACAAUGUCCAAAACAUUUUUUUUCCCAUAAAUACAAAUGAGCUUAGAUAGAAAACACAUACUGGUUUGCAUGCAGCCAUUCUAUUUGUUAUCUACUGUUACCAUAACAGCAUUCUCAGGACACCAGUACUUAAGAGUUAUAAAGUCAUCAUCAUACCUAACGUUAACAAGCUGGGGGUCAGCCUUUUGACAUCGAGAGCAGAAGUAAGUCAUCCUGUUAUUCUCUCCUAAACGACACACCGUGAUUUUUUCAUUGCACUGACUGCAGGUUUGGCGCCUGUAUACUUUGUAGUGUUUGUAGAGUGGAGACCCAGUUUUACGGCACUAAAAUAGAACAUGUUUAAAACCCAAGUUACAGAUACUAUAUAAAUUAUGCUAGCUUUUCUACAGCUCAUAUGAAACAAAACUAAAACAAACAAACAAAAAAAAAGCUGUGUAGACCAAUAGCUUAAUGACUCAAAGAUAUUAAAGAUAUGUUCAUAAGGAUUAUGUCCUGUAUUUCGUCUUCUUUUAUUUAAAAAAAACUGACAUUAAAUCUGGUAUAACAGGGUGUAAAAUUUUCCAAAUACUGGAAUAAAGGAAGAAAUACACAAAAAGACAUACUAGCAUGGCAUCAACAGAUAUAUGCUAGGGAUCCCUUGCAUUUACAUGGACCAUCUAGCUUUGAUUUAACACUAGUCUUCUUUGACCUGUCAGCUGCAAGAAUACACUUGGAGAGCUCAUGAACUCCAAUCAACAUAGCAGAGAAAAUGAAUAGGAGUCAGCUUGAGCCCAGUAAAGUUGCUCAGUUUCAUCCUAGUGCUCAUCACGCCAGACAGGCUGGCUUGUGAAACACUAGUUGGCAAGAUCCCCAUCCCCAGGAGCUGGCAGAAAGUCAUGUUAAAGUAAAAACAGAACAAACUCAAAGGGCACAGUGACCUAAUGAGACCCCAAAGAGCUGACAAGCAGGCAUAUUUCAUGAGACAGUUCAUGCAAAGUCAAUACAGGCAUACCCCAGCUAAAACUGACAGAAGAAAAAAAACGAAACAAAGAGCCCAGUAGAGAUACAGCCAGUAAUUCAGCCAGAAGGAAUUACCGAUCAAGUGUUUACACGAAUAUUCACAAGCAAUUUCUUUCUUGUAGAUUUCUCCUUAGAAGUCCAUUUUUUAUUUUUAUUAGUUUUGUUCCACUGGUUAUUAAAACCAGACAGAAGCAACAGCUUCGUACAUGAAAAAGGUCCCACAUAUUUGUAUCUGUAAAGUGUUAAACUACAAAUCAAAAGUAUAGAAUGAUUACUACAAGAAUUACAGUAUAAUAUUCUAUAGACAAUGAUCAUCACUACCACAUAUUAAUCUAUUUUCGUUAUGUUUUUAUCUUCAAGAGGCUUUGGGGGCGAGUUCAUCCUUAAAAGGUACUUAACUGGUGAAUACGUGGUAGGUUUAGUUAUAAGAGUUUAAGAUAGGUAUACCGAGCUACAGAAAAUGUAAAUUGUUAUUGUUAGUCUAAAUGCUUGUGACACACUUAUGCUUCUUAGUAUCUUAUGCUGAUGCAGAACCACUUGUUCCCUCUUUACUAGUAGGCUUCUCUAUGAAGUUUGGAUGAUGAAAAGAUUUCUCUAGCUACAUUAAACACUACUCUUUGGCAGGUUAACAGAAAGCAGAGAUUUAAAUGGACUAAAAUGAAUUACAUUUAUAACUGCUACCAUACAUUGAAAGAAUGUAUUAGAAAUGUUAAAUCUUUUUCUCCAAGCCUACCAAAAAGAACUUCUAGCAACUCUAGCUCCUUGUCUCACGAACAACUUUGAGAAACAGACAAGGAUUUCAUUCCUCUGCAUGCAGCUUAAAGAAAAACAUAGAAACAAAAAAAAAGCAGUGACAUACAAGAAUUAGGCCCAGUUCUUUCAUUCUGUUUUGGAAAGAGAAAGAGCAACCAGGAAUUACAGGCUUGACAAGAGAAGAAAUGAAAUCCUAUUGAAGAUGUGGCAGUAGGGAAAAGCUUGAGUUUAUUUUGCUUUAUCAACCAAAGAAAUUGUCACUGUUAGGAAGAAAUGUUAUUAGGAUUUACAGUGUAUUCACUCAUAAAAAUGAGUUUGAAUUCCCUUAAAAAUUCCCAGGGGCAACCUCUAGCUCCCAGUUUGAAGAGUGACCAUUGUCACCUUAAAUGCAUGUCCUUAACCUAUAUUAAUUCUGACACACUCAGAGUGACUUCACAGCACGUGUACAGCAAAACUGUACUGAGUUGGUCCACACAUAUCACUCUUCCUGCUGCAACUGGGGCAAAGUUCUGCACAUUUAUACAGUCUAGAUAUCCCCACUUUUCCAUCUCCUGACAAUUUGCAAUAAAUAAAGAACAUGCAAAGCAAGACUCCUGUUCACUGAAACACUUUUGUUUCAUUUCUUUUCCUCUUUCCCCUGGC